UACGGCUGUGAGAUGCAGGACAACAGGACCACAGGGCACUGGCAUUAUGGCUACGAUGGCAGGGAUUACCUGACCUUGGACUUGGACUCUAUGCAAUAUACAGCAGCCACCUUCAUUGCUGGCUACACCAAGCACAAGUGGCAAAACAAUGAGUACUGGCUGGAGAGAGAGAAGACCUACUUGGAGAAGGAGUGUGUCCUGUGGCUAAAGAGAUACUUAACUAUGGGAGGAGAGAACUUUACCCGAACUGACCCUCCACGGACAACAGUGACACACC
rnacentral:lncRNA from 1 species